rnacentral:tRNA from 1 species
CGGAGUGUAGCUCAGCCUGGUAGAGCACUGUCUUCGGGAGGCAGGGGCCGCAAGUUCGAAUCUUGCCACUCCGACCA